UUUCGCAAUGCCCGAAAGGGUGACGAAGCGACGCCGCGUGCGGGAAGAAGGCCUUCGGGUUGUAAACCGCUGUCGGGAGUUAAGAAAUGCAAGGAUGUUAAUAGCAUCUUUGUUUGACUAAGGCUCCGGAGGAAGCCACGGCUAACUCUGUGCCAGCAGCCGCGGUAAUACAGAGGCGGCAAGCGUUGUUCGGAAUUAUUGGGCGUAAAGAGCACGUAGGCGGCUGUGUAAGUCGGUUGUGAAAGCCUUCCGCUUAACGGAAGAACGGCAUCCGAUACUGCAUGGCUCGAGUGCGGGAGGGGAGAGUGGAACUUCUGGUGGAGCGGUGAAAUGCGUAGAUACCAGAAGGAACGCCGGCGGCGAAAGCGACUCUCUGGUCCGAAACUGACGCUGAGUGUGCGAAAGCUAGGGGAGCAAACGGGAUUAGAUACCCCGGUAGUCCUAGCCGUAAACGAUGGGCACUAAGUAGAGGGGUUUU
rnacentral:rRNA from 1 species